rnacentral:lncRNA from 1 species
GGUAUAAAUAUAUAUAUAUAUAUAAAAUAUUUUAUAAUUAUAUACAUAAUUAUAAGAACGGGUCGGCUUCAUGCGUCACCCAAAACCGUAAGAAAUAGCGUCUAUUUCUUACGUGCGUAGUCAGGCAUAAAGCCGUCUCCUUAUGAUUAUGUAUAUAAUUAUAAAAUAUUUUGUAAAAUUUACCUUUAAGGGUUUUAUUUCCGCACUGGCUACCUGGUAAAAUUAUUAUUGGCUUUACUCUUUAUUGGCUGUGUGGUAAGUAGCUUGCUUACCAACUACAUGGUUUCUGGAUCAGUCCCACUGCGUGGCAUCUAGGACAAGUGUCUUCUACUAUAGCCUCGGGCCGACCAAAGCCUUGUGAGCGGAUUUGAUAGACGGAAACUCAAAGAAGCCUGUCGUAUAUCUAGAUAUAUGUGUGUGCGUUUGUGUGUGUGUUUGCCCCCCUCCCAACAUCACUUCACAACCGAUGCUGGUGUGUUUACGUCCCCGAACUUAGCGGUUCGGUAAUAGAGACCGAUAGAAUAAGUACUAGGCUUACAAAAAUAAGUCCUGGUGUCGAUUUGCUCGACGAAAGGCCGUGCUCCAGCAUGGACGCAGUCAAAUGACUGAAACAAGUUAAGGAUUAAAAGAGUAUCUAUACACACAUACAAAUAUGUGGUUGAGUGAAAAGUACGCAACGUUUUGAAACAUAAAAUUCAUCAGAAUAUUUUUCAACAAUGCGGAUAUUUUAUUCAUCAAAGUAAGUAACAUUACAAUCAACACAUUUAUGCCAACGAGUUACAUUUUUUUUUUAUUAUUCCGAUAGCAUAAAAACUUGGAGUUCUGGAGCUGAUGAACUCUUUGAACCCACUGUCAUCCUCGGUUUGAUUUUCGAACUCCUCCCGCAGGAAACCAUCAAGCUACUGGAAACAUUGGUAGUCAGUAAGGAUACAUGUCUGGGGAAUAAUUUGAUGGCAAAGAAUUUCGUAGCCAAGUCAAUACCUGGAGUGUCAUUAGCGAAACGUGUGGUCGAGCAUUGUCAUAAAAAAUGAUUGGCCCUUUUCUGCUGAACAGUCUGGGAUGGAUGAGCAGCAGUUUUUCAUUCAUUUUAGCAAUUUCAUAUGUUUGUACAGCAAAGGUUUUUCUGGGUUUUAAGAUGUUAUGGUAGAUGAGUCCAGCAGUACACUACCAAACAGUCACCAUAAAAUUCUUUCUGAAGAGCUCGGGUUUAGGGAGGUUUUCGGUUCAUUAUUUUGGUCCAACCCUUGCGAAGAACGUGUUUUAAUAUUGUACAGAAUCCACUUUUCAUUGCAAUUUACAAUACGGUCGAGAAACAGAUCGAUCUAUUUACGGAGAAGCGACAAGCAAAUUUUGCAUCUGCGCAUUUCCUGCCGAGCUUGUUUGAUUUUUCAUUCGCACGCAAAUGGUUGAAGACAGUUUUCUGGCUAAUCUGAAGUACCUUUUCCAGUUCUCGAGUGGUUUUACGUGGAUCUUUCUCAAUGACGGUCUCUAAUUGAUCGUCAUCGGUGACAGAUGGUCGUCCACUACACUCACGAACUUCAAGGCUCAGUACUCCACUGCGAAAUUGUUUAAACCAUUGUUAGCUCGAAAAUAGUUUAAACGAUUUCGCAGUGGAGUACUGAGCCUUGAAGUUCGUGAGUGUAGUGGACGACCAUCUAUCAUCGAUGAUGAUCAAUUAGAGACCGUCUUUGAGAAAGAUCCACGUAAAACCACUCGAGAACUAAAAAAGGAACUUCAGAUUAGCCAGAAAACUGUCUUCAACCAUUCACUGAAUAACUACUUACUGGUCAUUUCUUCACCAAAUGUUUCGUUGAUAUCACGAGCUGUUUCAGUUGCUUUACGUCCUCUUUGAAGUUGAAUAGCAAAACUGCUCGAAUAUCGUGCUUUGACAGUUCCAUUUCAGAUAAUUGUAACAACGUUUUCUUUAUUGCCCACAGGGCGCUAAACAUAGAGGGACGGUACAAAUGUGAGAGAGGUCAAUGGUGCGUAUGUUUUUUACACAGAGGGGAAAAGUUAAAAAAUUAUAAAGAUCGAAUGAUAAACAAAUGAUAUGCGAAACAAAUACACAAACAAUGAAGUGGGGGACGGGUUUUGCUUCGAACCCGCAAGCCCCGUACCAACAUUGUAACUUUUAGUAUAGCCUUAUGAACACACUAUGUCGGUUCAUUCAUUCGCAACAAACUCACAAUAGCCUUCCAUCUGUUUCCAUAUACAUCAGGUGACAGGAAUUUUCUCUCCACCCUUAUUUGCCUUUUAAGCUGAUAGAUGAGGCAAUGGACCAAUCCAAAAUGGAGAUGAAUGUGUCUGUCACAAUUCCUUUCACGCGGGUCUUCCAUACGACAUAUUUCACUAUAGCGACAAAACACUAUAGCGACCACAGCGAGAAAACAAGCAUUGUCUUCGUUGUUAAAAGCGGCAGGAGGAACAAUCUUUACAACCGACUCGGAAGACAGUUGUACUCUUCUCUGCUGUGACAAAAGAUGUUCAACGUAAACCCACAUCUCAGAGAUUUGGGGGCAUUGCACUAUUAUGUGCAGAACGGUUUCCAUGUCCUAAUCGCAUCUUGGGUACGUGAGUGGGCAAGGGGCACCAUGCCUUGCGAGUUUAUCGCAAACUGGUAAGGCUCCUCGGUAACACUGCCAGGCCAGGGAUUCCUGGAAAUUAUCCAAGGGUCCUGGCCCGAAUGUCCUUCGGAACAGACUGACUAGUUGAUCCACACCGAAGCCUAGAGUCUCUCCUAAGACGUCGUCACACUGAGCCCCUACCAAUCCUCUAUAGACAGACGAGGUGGAACAUCCGCCGUUGGCGUUGCCCGUAUGACAGAGAAACUUGAGGGGCUUCACGACAUUCCAUUUGCACCCAACUUUGGUUGACACUUGAUUCAAGGUCCUAGGUCACUCAAACUAGUAAGCUCAGGAAGUAACGACCGAACGAACUGAGAUCACACCUGUUCACCAUCCAGGUAGAGCCUCAGAUACCUUGGUCUGGGCGCAUGUCUGUGCAUCAACAAGAAAGGCAUACCUAGCCCACCCUUCAGCGGGUGCUAGCAGCUAACAGAGCGCUUUACAUUAUUAUUAUUGCUAUUUUUACAAUUAUUAUUACUAUCAUUGUUGUUACUACUCAUUCUACACCUGGCUAACUUAAUGUUUUUACUAUUAAGUCUAGCUAUUAUGGUAGCCAUACUUGGGAAAGUGGAAUAUGAAAUUCUCACUGAUUUCCUAGUAAUUAUUUUAUGAUAUUUAUGGGAGGCUGGAAAUUUUUUUCCAGUAUAGACAUAAAUUUACUGUACACAUUCGUCGAGAUCGACCAAUUAAAGGAAAUAUUUAACCAGAUGACAUUUUCUCUCUUAUGCUUUUUGUUUAAGUAAGAGUGGGGAGGAUUAGUGUUAUCAGUAUUCAAACGAGAAUUAUUAUUCCUUUUAGUAUUAUUUUUAUGCCUAUCGGGUUUACCUAGGUUAGCAUUUUCAUAUUUAUUUAUGAUCUGUUCACUAUUUUUAUUCCUAUAAUUAGGUUUAUACACUAGGUUCUUUUCCUCUAUUGAUUUAUGUUUAUGUAGGGUAUGAGAGUCUAUAUUACUUAAGUCAUUUAAAUUCACUAUAUUAUUUAGGAGAUUUAAGCUAUCACUAUCUAGGAAGGUGAUUUCCUUAGAUAAUGCAACAUUAUAAUGAUUAGAGUGAGAGUUAAAGAUUUCACUAUUUGAUAAUAAUUUUAAAAUUCUUUGAGAAAUAUUUUUAACUAAUGAUUUUAGUAUAUUCGAGGGGUGAUUGGAUGACUUACUUACAUAUGUGGUAACUUCGCCCUCAUUUCUAAAUGGGUAAUGUAACUUUGAAUUUAAGUCUAAGGUAACAUCUAGGAAAUUAACUAUUUUGGUGUUAGGUUCAUACGUAAUACCUAGAUUAAAAUCUUUGAAAAAUUUACUAAUUUUCUUUUUUAUCCUCUCAAUACUUGAAUUAUUGUUGCUAGUUACAAUAAACAAAGCAUCAUCCGUAUAUAGACCACCUUGUAAUUCUCCUAACGCUGAAUCUGUUCAUCAAAUAGUAGUAAUUGGCAUUUAGUUGUGAGAACGCUGUCUUCUACAUAAAUUCCUUAUAUGGAGCUAUAACAUUCCCUUUACCCCAUUUCUAUAAUUAGAACAUCUUUAUUGUCUCUUUUCAGUUGUUCUUCCCUCUCAGAACCUUACAGUAGUCUGGAACAACUGAAUCUUAGUCAGUCAGUUGAUGGGCUCCAGUACCUCAAAUGUUCUUAAAAUUUAAAUCCACAUCUUUGUCUUUGUAUCUACCUUCUCUAAAAUGUUGCCACUGGAUAUGAAAAUUUUUGUAUUAAUGGAAAACCUCUAUAAUUGGCUGAUGAGUGCUCAACAUUUUAAAACUGUUGUAAUAUUUACAACAUUUAAUAAAAUGAUGUAGUACGAAACGAUCGUACCAAAUUACCGGAGUCAUUGUUGCUGCUUAUUUUGAGUUUAUAUAUAUAUAUAUAUAUAUAUAUAUAUAUAUAUAUAUAUAUAUAUAUAUAUACACACAGACACACAAACACACACAUAUAUAUAUAUAUAUAUAUAUAUAUAUACAUAUAUAUACAAUUGCAGCGGGGAAGGUGUUUAUAAGCCCUUUAAGAAACACACAAGACUGUUAGAUUCACUUCAACAUUUAAGUUUAAUCUGUCAUAAUAUUUUCGUCGCUUUGAGACCAAGACCUGUUCACUGACAAAACAUCUUGCUGCAUCUCACGGUGCAAUUAUUUUCGUUGCUGCACACGAUCUCAGAUCAAGUCACUCCCUAUGCAAGUACAUCUCCGUAUAUAUAUAUAUAUACGUACAUAUACAUACAUACAUGCACACAUACAUACAUACAUACAUACAUACAUACAUACAUACAUACAUACAUACAUACAUACAUACAUAUAUAUAUAUAUAGUCACUAAUUGUGACUAUAUGUGUACCGUUGGCAAUUUUUUUUCCUCCGUCUUCCCUUCUUUGGAUCUUUCCUUUUGCUAUGUUUCUGACAAAGCACACAAAGCCACAUCCGUUUUUGGAGUCGGCUCUGGAUCCUCCAAAGCGGAUAAUGGAUAUGUAAUACUACCAAAAAUUGGAUUCCCUCGAAAGGAUAAAAUUCAAAGUCGGCCUCGGAGGUAUAUGAACUCAGAACGUAAAGACAGAUGAAAUGACGCAAAACCCUUUGGCCGUCGUGUUGGCGAUUCUGCCAGGAAGUAAAAUAAAAAAAAAGAACUCGUAUAAUAGAUUAUCUGAAGCAAUUUUCCUAUGGACACCAAUAGCUUUUUAAUACAUUGAGUAUUAAUAUAUUAAACACCGUGCGUAAAAACAACAUUUGACUGAUUAAAAUUACCUUUGCAGUGAAGUGAAAGAAACUCUGGGUGAAUGCCAUAUCCUAAUCAAAUAUGGUCAACGCAAUUGGUCGACAGCUAUGAAAAUUUUAAUUAAUCAAAAAUUUGAAUUACGCAUGCAGUGAACAGAUGCAAACUUUGGCUCAAGGGCUAGUAUUUAGUUAAACUGAAAUUUGGCAAGGAUGCUUUUCACAGCAAGCGAAAUUCGAAUUUUAAUUAAAUAAAUGUUAUUUGGAUUUGCCUUGACCAAAUUUAGUCAAUAUUAGUCAUUAAUAGUCAAUAUUAGCCGUGAUAAAUAUAACAUUUCUAUGUCAGAUAUUUCGGUGUGUUAUAAUUAUGCAUUUCUUUUAUUAAUCUCUCUCUGUGGUUUUUGUGGUUAAUUCAUUUAGCAUCUACUUGCGUAUAUUAUAGCUAUUUUUAUUACUGGCACAACUAGAAUAGUGUUGUACACAUACUAAUAUUUCAGGUCUAACCUAUAACAACUAUAAUAUUUUUUGCUAAUCUGGUCUUUUGAAUAGAUGAUAACAUUGAUUUACUAGAAUUUGUAUUCGGUGAAUUCUCUCAUCUGCGUUUCUUUGUCUAUUGUGACGUUAGCAUUCUUAAUUUUUCUCUCCUCAGGUUACUUUUCUAAUCAUAAUUUCAUAUCAGUUGCUCUAAUACAUCCGUGAAUCCUCUGUAACAUAUUUUUCUAAUUAUUUCACAUCUUUAAUAUACUUAUAACGUAAGGCAGCGAAAUUGAAAUAAUCGUCCGAAACUAUUCUUUCCGGGUAAAACGCCUAACGACCUAUCACCCGCCUUUGUGUUCUGAUUUCAAAUGUCGCCGGUGCAGCUUUACUUUUCAUCCUUCGGGAUGCUCGAUAAAAUAUAACCCAGUUGAGCACUGGGAUCAAUGGAAUCCACUUAAUUCCUUUCUCAAAAUUUUUGGCCUUGUACCAAAAUUUGAAACCAACAUGGAGGCACAUGGCCUAUUGGUUAGGGCAGCGGACUCGCGGUCGAGAGAUUACGGAUUCGAAUCUCAGACCGGGGGACGUGUGUGUUUAUGAGCGAAACGCCUAAGCUCCACACGGCUCCGGCAGAAGGUAAUGGCGAACUUUUGCUAACUAUUUCGCCACAACUUUCUUUCACUCUUUCUCCUGCAUCUUGCAGCUCAUCUGCGACGGACUAGCGUCCCGUCCAGGUGGGGAACCUAUACGCCAAGGGAACCGAGAAACCGGCUCUUAUGAGUCAGGCAUGACCCGAGAAGGAACAAACAAAACAAUACAUACAACAUGAAUCCGUCUAUAAAUAACAAAAUUGCUGAUGGCCCUGCAAUUAUAUUUACAUGAGUGACUUUUCUGGUUUACCAUGCAUUUUAAAGAUAUCAAAUCAAACACAAAGGACUAGGUACUGGGUGUUCCCUCUAGAGAGUUGGUCCAAGCAGUUUUAUUAUUCUUUUUGUUAUUCGCUUAUUGUCUGUUUUACUCAUAAGUAAUACCUUUGGUGUAUUUGUGUAUUAAAAAAAUGCAAACGGCUUCCGGAAAGUUAAUCCAUGCCAAGGUCGGACCAUUCUUCUUCCUUCUGCAAUUUUUAGCUAUAUCUUUAUGAGUAAUACAUCAUUACAUUCGUAAGCAGUUGGAAAGAAGGCUAGCUGUUUGUAAGUUAUAAGGUUAUUUUUUUCGUAAGAGUAAUGGGUUUAAAAAAUAUUUGUCAUAAAUUAGUCAAUCAGUUUUCGUUUCCGACUCUCAGAAUCGAAUUCAAUAUUUCCUACAUUUUAUUGUAAAACAUUUCAAGGAAAGCCGUGAGGUGUUAUCAUUUCUUGCUUUCGCUUCCAGUGGAUAGUUUUGUGUAGCAAUAAGAUUACAUCUUCAGCCGUGAGGACCUUCGACUACUGACGAAGGGCUACAUUGUGAGCCACAUCUACUCUGGCAGUUUCCACUCAGUCUACUCGACUCUUCAAUUUUUUCUACUUCUCCUGUUACUGUUUCUGCAAUGAUUUAUAUGUUUCUAGCUCUUUAUUAAAAUCAUAUUCUUUUACAGUCAAACUGCUCUCUUUUGUUCAGUGAAGAGAUGUAUUUUAUUUAUGACGAUUUCAUUACGACAUACAGAACAUCACAUGCUGCAAGCAUUCAUUGUUUAUUUAUUAUUUCUUUUGGUGUGGGGAGUGGUAUAUUACUCGUUAUAUU